rnacentral:rRNA from 1 species
AUUGAACGCUGGCGGCAGGCUUAACACAUGCAAGUCGAGCGGGGUGAUGGUGCUUGCACUAUCACUUAGCGGCGGACGGGUGAGUAAUGCUUAGGAAUCUGCCUAUUAGUGGGGGACAACAUCUCGAAAGGGAUGCUAAUACCGCAUACGUCCUACGGGAGAAAGCAGGGGAUCACUUGUGACCUUGCGCUAAUAGAUGAGCCUAAGUCGGAUUAGCUAGUUGGUGGGGUAAAGGCCUACCAAGGCGACGAUCUGUAGCGGGUCUGAGAGGAUGAACCGCCACACUGGGACGGAGAGACGGCCCAGACGCAGACGGGAGGCAGCAGUGGGGAAUAUUGGACAAUGGGGGGAACCCUGAUCCAGCCAUGCCGCGUGUGUGAAGAAGGCCUUAUGGUUGUAAAGCACUUUAAGCGAGGAGGAGGCUCUUUUGGUUAAUACCCAAGAUGAGUGGACGUUACUCGCAGAAUAAGCACCGGCUAACUCUGUGCCAGCAGCCGCCGUAA